UACAGAGGGGGCAAGCGUUUGUUCGGAAUUACUGGGCGUAAAGGGCGCGUAGGCGGCUUUGCAAGUGACGGGUGAAAGCCCUCGGCUUAACCGAGGAACUGCCUGUCAGACUGUGAGGCUUGAGACCGGGAGAGGUGAGUGGAAUUCCCAGUGUAGCGGUGAAAUGCGUAGAUAUUGGGAGGAACACCAGUGGCGAAGGCGGCUCACUGGACCGGAACUGACGCUGAGGCGCGAAAGCGUGGGGAGCAACAGG
rnacentral:rRNA from 1 species